rnacentral:rRNA from 1 species
UGGGGAAUUUUGGACAAUGGGCGAAAGCCUGAUCCAGCAAUGCCGCGUGUGUGAAGAAGGCCUUCGGGUUGUAAAGCACUUUUGUCCGGAAAGAAAUCCUUGGCUCUAAUACAGUCGGGGGAUGACGGUACCGGAAGAAUAAGCACCGGCUAACUACGUGCCAGCAGCCGCGGUAAUACGUAGGGUGCAAGCGUUAAUCGGAAUUACUGGGCGUAAAGCGUGCGCAGGCGGUUUGCUAAGACCGAUGUGAAAUCCCCGGGCUCAACCUGGGACUGCAUUGGUGACUGGCAGGCUAGAGUAUGGCAGAGGGGGGUAGAAUUCCACGUNUAGCAGUGAAAUGCGUAGAGAUGUGGAGGAAUACCGAUGGCGAAGGCAGCCCCCUGGCAAGUACUGACGCUCAUGCACGAAAGCGUGGGGAGCAAACAGGAUUAGAUACCCUGGUAGUCCACGCCCUAAACGAUGUCACUAGUUGUUGGGGAUUCAUUUCCUUAGUAACGUAGCUAACGCGUGAAGUUGACCGCCUGGGGAGUACGUCGCAAGAUUAAAACUU